rnacentral:rRNA from 1 species
AUUGAACGCUGGCGGCAUGCUUUACACAUGCAAGUCGAACGGUAACAGGCCGCAAGGUGCUGACGAGUGGCGAACGGGUGAGUAAUGCAUCGGAACGUGCCCAGUCGUGGGGGAUAACGCAGCGAAAGCUGCGCUAAUACCGCAUACGAUCUAUGGAUGAAAGCGGGGGACCGUAAGGCCUCGCGCGAUUGGAGCGGCCGAUGUCAGAUUAGGUAGUUGGUGGGGUAAAGGCUCACCGAGCCAACGAUCUGUAGCUGGUCUGAGAGGAUGAACAGCCACACUGGAACUGAGACACGGCCCAGACUCCUACGGGAGGCAGCAGUGGGGAAUUUUGGAAAAUGGGCGCAAGCCUGAGCCAGCAAUGGCGCGUGCAGGAAGAAGGCCUUCGGGUUGUAAACUGCUUUUGUACGGAACGAAACGGUCCUGGUUAAUACCUGGGGUCCAUGACGGUACCGUAAGAAUAAGCACCGGCUAACUACGUGCCAGCCGCCGCCGUAACAC